UUCCUGAAACAUGUCAAUGGUCUGAUGCAUGGCCUCUGCAGGAGUGCUUGGCCACCCACUCAGUUACCAGUGACCUAUUCUGCCACAUCCCAGGAAAAGGAGAGAGCAGCACCACCUCUCCUUAAAUCCAUACUCAUUGACAUAAGUGUCAUGAAAAGCCAGAAGAUUCACGAGGUUGAUGUGUUGUGGGCCCUCUGGAAAGUCCUGAAAUAUGCCCCUGAGCUGCAAAGUAUGUAUAUGAGCAAGUUGCUCUUUUUUAAAAACAUCUCUAAGCUAUAACUGCCACAAAAUUAUUCAACUAGUACCAUGGAAAUACUUUUAGCCAGCUGAGUCCACAAAGUCUCCACAAAAACAUUGGGCCUUUAUAUACUCCCAGUAUUUCUAUGCAUGACAUUUAUGAAACAAUUACUGUAUGCCAUUGCUUGAUCUGUUUUAAAAUGUAAGAAUAUGUUGGUGACUAUGGAAACAAAUACAAAUGUAAAUGAAAAAUGUUUUCAAUAUACAACUUUAUCCUCUGCAAUACUUUUUACAGUACACUCUUAGAAAAAAAGGUGCCAUCUAGAACCUAAAAGGUUUAUUCGGAUGUCCCCAUCGGAGAACCGUAGAAUCCUUUGAUGGACCCCUUUUGGUUCCUGGUAGAACCCUUUUGGUUUCAGGUUGAACCCUUUUGGGUUUUAAAUAGGACAAUUUCUACAGAGGAUUCGACAUGGAAACCAAAAGGGUUCUACGUGGAACCAAAAUGGCUUCUCCCUGUGUAUGUUUUAAAUAUCAGAGUAAGAAAUCGACGGACACUAUGAAACCAAGUUUAUUUAUCCCAAAGGAUCGAACAGCUGAGCCGACAAAAACAUAUUCACACAAGCACUGACAUUUAACCCUUUCUCCUGCUGAGUCUCCUCCUACACAUCUGAACAGCCAAUGUAUCUCUGUUGCUAGACAGAACCUUAGUGAUAGCUGUUCUUCCUCACUUCACCUGACCUGACCUCUGACACAAAGUGCUCACUACUCCCCAACUCACAGCUGUCAUGGUGGCUAGUACCAGACUGUCUCUUCUCCUCCCAGCGGAUCCCUCCCAUACAGUAGGAUCCCUGAUGGCUAAUAAUAACAUAUUCUGACAUAAUGUAAAAGUUUACAUUACCCUUUCUCCAUCAUCAGUGACAUGAAUAAGUAUAUUUCAUAUUCUCAGAACCCAACACCUGGAACCAAAAAGGGUUCAUCUAUGGGGGAUGCUGAAGAACCCUUUUGGAACCCUUUUUUCUAAGAGUGUUGGUAAUAAGCUGUAGUCAGGUGGUCAUUACCAGGUUAUGAUGAGGUCUUAACUAUGAUCAGUAGGCUACAUAAUGUACACAUAAUAUAGUGGUCACAAUUAUGACCAACUUGUCAUAUGGUGCUGAGAAAAAUAUGUAAUAUUCUGGUCAGUAAAAAUAUAUUUUAAAAAACCCUGUCCUUUCUCAACCAUACUUCAUACUGAUGUCUUUUCAACCAGCUUUUGCCCACUAGGUGGGAACCUAUGCAAACUGCUUUACUGGCACAAAGACUAUCUUUGAAUAGCAGAAGGACAUUGAGACGGACAGUCAGCUCUUCCAUCUUUCCAAAUGGCUACACAAAGGCUUGUCAGAGAGGAAAGUACAUUCGCCAAGUAUAAAAUGUAUUUAUGUUUUUCUUUUGAUAGGCUUACGAUCCCAGCGUGUCAAACACCUGAUGAAUUCUCAAGUUGAAUUGUUUGUGGUUUGUGAAUUUUGACUGAAAAUGUAUUUUGACUGAACAGAAAUUGAUGACCUAAAUGUACGUGGACCUUCUCUGCCACAUUGAAAAUGUACUUGUUUAUUUAUAUCAAAUAACGAGUAUUGAUUGGAAAUUGUGGUUUUGAUUAACCAAAAUGAUCUGGCUAUUUUUGAGUUUUUAUGCAUCACUGGCUGAGCUAAAUACAGUAUUUCAUGAGACCCUAACUGCCGGCUGUUUACCAACUGUGCUACAAAAUUGCAAACCCCGCUGAAAAAGAACAUUACUCCAAUUGUAAUAAUUGUAAUGGUUCCAGUGUCUUAUAUGCAAUGGGUGCAUGGCCCAUUUAGAUAACUGGUCAGUAGUUCAAUCAGAUUUCAACCAAAAACCACAUAUCAACCAAAAUAAGACAUUUUUCAUGAUGUCAAAAAGACAUCAUGAAAAAGACGUCUUAAUCUGGUUGUGAUCUGGUUAUAUUUCAACCAAUAAACGACGUCUAACAGUAAAAGCCUAACCUACAAAAUCAUGACAAGCUACCAAAGCUUAUAGUUUUUAUUAAAUUGGUAUUUAGAUACCAAACAAGAUGUAAAGGUAAUUUACAGUCCAUUGUUGGUUAAAUAAUUCCAAUACAACUCUCUAGUGGUUAGUGGAGGCGUGAGUGACUUGUAUCUAUGUUGCUGAGAGGAACCAGAACCAACAUUGACACGUUCUUUACUCUGACAGCAAACUUCAAAUCAUUACAAAAUCCAUAUUUGACUCACUGUACCAUUUAAGGCGUAAACACAAAGGAUUAGUACACAGUUCAUCAUACCGGGAAGGCCUAGUCUUCAUUGAAAAUAAAUAUACUGUACUGUCCUAGAAAGAGAAAGGCAGGUGAAUUGGAAAAUAUAUAUAUACACUGUAUGUGCAAUACACAGUGAUCCUACUUUCAUUUGCAAACUACCCAUCCUCUAUUGCACACAUAUAAACAGUUUAUUACAAUUAAUCCACUUUUCCCACACUAUAGAUAGUUGAUAAAGCUAUAUUAUGCUCUAUUACAUGUCUUGUGGGAACAUUUUUCAUUGUGUUCUGUAGUUAUGAAACAUUAAGUAAAUUAAUGUACAAGGCAUGCCCAAAGGUUCAAUGUGAGUAAUUUGAAUGUCUUUGCAAAAUAGUGGCUUUAGAUGAGCUAUGGUAAGAGGAGAUCCUUAGCAUCCCUUUGCUUUGCAGUCUUAUUAAUGAAGCAUUUGCGCUUGGUUCAUAGAACCGGGGUUAUGUCAGUAACCUCCAGUAGCCGCUAGAUACGGUUGUAAUAAACAGAGCGGUUUCUGUUUUCUUCCUACAAAAGCUGAAAGAUAAGACUCUCAGGAACACGAAGGUACGUACUGUACUGUUUCUGUACUGUUAUUUUCUACACAGAUCAUACAUCAUCAACAUUAUUGCCUGAUGAUCUUCUGAACUUCCCAAUACCUUUCUGAUGCAUUUCAGUCACUUCAAACCACGGGUUAGGAACCAAAAUUAUUUUCCAAUCAUUUAGUUCUGAACCGAAGCAUAAUUUUUUUCGUUCUGUUCCAAUGUUUCAACCAGAAAAAUAAAGUUCUGAACAGGUUCAAACCCAAAAAAGUACUGGUUUAUAUUGUUCCUUUCUGUUCUUUUUUAAACCUCUGAAAUAUACACUACACGGCCAAAAGUAUGUGAACACCUGCUCGUCAAACAUCUCAUUCCAAAAUCAUUUGCAUUAAUAUGGAGUUGCUCCCCCCUUUGCUGCUAUAACAGCCUCUACUCUUUUGGGAAGGCUUUCCACUAGAUGUUGGAACAUUGCUACGGGACUUGCUUCCAUUCAGCCACAAGGGCAUUGUCAUACUGAAACAGGAAAGUUGGAAGCACAGAAUCAUCUACAAUGUCAUUGUAUGGUGUAGCGUUAAGAUUUCCCUUCACUGGAUUCAAGGGGCCUAGCCAAAACCAUGAAAAACAGCCCCAGACCAUUAUUCUAUUAUUCCUCCUCCACCAAACUUUACAGUUGGCACUAGCGUUAUCCUUGCAACUGCCAAACCCAGAUUUGACAAACUGACUUGUUGGAAAGAUGGAAUCCUAUGACGUUGCCAUAUUGAAAGUCACUUAGCUCUUCAGUAAGGCCAUUCUACUGCCAAUGUCCGCCUACAGAGACUGCUUAGCUGUGUGCUCGAUUUUCUACACUGGUCAGCAAGGGCGUAGCUGAAAUAGCCAAAUCCACCAAUUUGAAGGGAUGCCCACAUAUUUUGUAGUGUAUAUAUUUUUUACAUUUAGCUCGACAUUAAAUUACUUCAACAAUCAGUGCGGAUAAAGCAGCUUGCUGUGGAACGUGUAAGCAAUUUUAGCUGUAUAGGAAAGUUGUGAGAGCACAUUUUAACAGCAUGGUUUAAUCACAAUGAAAGACAAACACACACUGUGCUGUCAGUCACAGUGUAGGACACAAGAUGCCACAUCAAUUUUGAGGGUGAGAGAGAAUGGAGGAAGCUUCAUUUGAAGCGCUGGACAUCUUGUUAAUGACAUGCAUUAUCUGAAUUAGGCCCACAGAAUUAUAACUACAGAGGAGCGGCUUCUAUGGAGGAACUUUAAAUGUCUUUCAACUUCCGAGUUGGUUUAUUAACGUUGGAGUAUUGCAAACGUUAGCUAGCUAGCUUGUGUGUGCAGAGCAGCACCAGAAUUAAAAACACGUCUUACCUUAUUGUAGUUAAUAAAUCCAUUGUGAAAUGUGAUAACUAUAGCAUCCUUAACUAACAUUUUAAAAAGUCAAUCCAUUCUUCUCCAAUAAACAUAUCUCUCUAAUACCUGAAUUACUCUUGUAACAUCGUCAGUAGGCUACAGUAACCUAUGCUUCAAAGGGGAGGGGCAGACAGCCGACAUAAAGAUUUACAGCUGGCAGGCAGAAGCUGGAAUACAUUUCUGAGUGACAGUCACUUCAGAUUGAAAUACUGUCUGACUGAUUUGUAAUAGACUGUCAUAGGCCCAAUAAAAAAGUUAAAAAGGGGUCACGGGACAAAACAUUUUGGGAACCCCUGCUUUACAGCAAGUUCAUCAGUACAAACCUCAUCCGAGUGUCUACCCAAGGUCUCUUCAGUCAAUACUUUCACCAAUACAUACUGAAAUAGCCCGUGUCCAUGCAGUGUGAAUCUAGCCUGGUCCCAGAUCUACAUGUGCUUUAGCCAACUAUGACAGACAUCGCAUGAUAACGAUAGUCAGAGGAGUUGGCUAGACUACUAGAGCA
rnacentral:lncRNA from 8 species